UUGCAGCCACAUCAUCUUGAAACACUGGUUCCCAUAUGAUCACCAAAGUUAAGCAACAUCAAGCCUGGUCAGUACCUAGAUGGGUGACUGAUUGGGAAUACCAGGUGCUGUAAG